UACGUAGGGUGCGAGCGUUAUUCGGAAUUACUGGGCGUAAAGCGUGCGUAGGCGGUUCUCCAAGUCCGUUGUGAAAGCCCCGGGCUCAACCUGGGAAUGGCAGUGGAAACUAGGGGACUGGAAUCUGGCAGAGGGGGGUGGAAUGCCGCGUGUAGCAGUGAAAUGCGUAGAGAUGCGGCGGAACACCGAUGGCGAAGGCAGCCCCCUGGGCUGAGAUUGACGCUCAGGCACGAAAGCGUGGGGAGCAAACAGG
rnacentral:rRNA from 1 species